rnacentral:lncRNA from 10 species
UCUCUGGAAGGAGCAAACUGUUGAGUAGGGAAGGGAAGAUGUGGGUACAUGGUGGGUUAGGAAGGAUGAGAUGUCAGUGCACUGUGAGUCCAGAGAGCAGGAAGUGGCUGGUAGUCACGGUGGUUAGGGAAGUUUUCCAUUUCCAUUUCCAUUUCCAGUUCUGUUUCUCGAGGAGCCUUUGGUUUCAGGUGGUUGGGGAUGGAUGGACAGAGGGGCAGGGGAACUUUCAAGGCCCCUGUGAAUUGCCCAGAGCAAGGAGGCUUUUUCUUUCAAUCCAGCAAGCAUGUUAUAGUGAUGGCGGAUUUGUGAAAGUCUUGCCAGAUAGAGAAGAUAUGUUGGGGCUGUUUGUGUAGGACCUCAAUUGACAGAUAAGUUUGAAGGCCAACACAGGCCAUAGUUUCCAGGAUCAUUUUUCAUUUCUUAUUUGUGAUUGACAGAAACCAUAGACUAGGGUCUUUCAAAAGAAAGAAUGGUGCCCAUUUGCCUAUUUAUUGUUUGGAUAAAGAAAUGAAUUUGACUGUGUGACCUGUUACUAAAUAAGUUUAAGAGAAAUGAUGGCCAAGCAAAAUAUGCGGAAUAAAUUUUUAAUCUGAAGGUAACUCCCUAAAUCCCAGGUAUUACCUUCUCACGAGAGAAGAAAGUGGCUGGAAAGAGUUGUGAAGAGUUGCAUUCCUUUUUUUAAUGGAGAUAUGGUCACUGUUUAGACCACAAGCAAACAGAAGAAGCCCAGCAGCAUUUCUUGGGUAUAGUUACUCAUCUUCUCAAAUGUUGCAAAAUACCGAA